rnacentral:lncRNA from 1 species
CUUCAAAAGCGAGCUUUCAAUGCAUUCAUGGUAUCAGAUGCAUUAGAUCUAUGUACAGUUAAACAUCUUCCUUAUUCCUCUACUUCAUUUAAUCUAUACAUGAAGACACCAACCAAGUUUCAAUACUCAAUGCUGCAUCAACGAUGCUCAAGAUUGUUUAUUUUAUCGCAAAGGUAUUGACCUUUAUCACGGGAACAUAUGUCGUGCUAUCUCGCUCACCAGUUUU